rnacentral:lncRNA from 14 species
CUCUCAUUAUCAUUCAUUACAUAGUGAGGGGUUUGCUGCUUCUGUCUACGGUUUAGAUUGAUGUCAGGGCCCAAUCAGAAAAAGGUGUAUUAAUAGUUUAAGAGAGACAUUUUAAAGGUAUUUUUCUGUAUUUGAUUUGAUCUGGGCGUUGUUUUGACGCAUUAUUUAACUGCUAUUUCUCUCCAUCUCUUUUGUUAGCUUACCUGUGUUUUAACUGCUCUGUCUUCAGAAUAUCCCCUGUUAUUUUCCUAGUCUCUUCUGUGGCAAAAUCCCUGACUGGAAGGAAAAAUCAUUAGUACAAAUGGUAAUAGAAGCCUCUGAUUCACAGGACUCAACAAUGCUUUUAAGUAUGUGGACUGAUAUUUAUUAAAUGCACUUACAGACCUCAGAGGGUAUAAUAUGGCUUAAUUAAUAUUGUUCCUGAAGUAAUCAUUUCUGCUGUCAUCUUUUUUUCAGAUGCUAGCCAUGUCUUCUUAACAUUCCAGUAAUGCACAAAUCAUUCCUAUUUUCCAAUAAGAAAUGGUCCUACUGGCAAGAAAUAUCACAUCUAACCAAAUACUGUGUGAUUCAGGACAUUUGGAUCUUUAAGACAAGGACAGCAGAUCAAUGCUUCCAUGUGUUUUACAUCAGCACGGGAUCUUCCUCAGCAUCUCAGAGCAAACAUUAUGCAUUACAAUACAACUCUCUCAGAAUUAUAUCAUGAUAUGAUUCUGUUUCCAGUAUCCAUCUAAUCACUACUAAUGCAUUAUUUUUAACCCUUCUCCCAGAUUGAAGUAGGAAUAAUAAUAAUAUUAAAUUGAGGCUUUGAGUUAAUUAUGCAAGGCAUCGUGAUUACAUGUGAAAUGUGGUUCAUAUUUUAUUUCCAUCAUUUGAAGUCAAGACCAAAUGCCCCACUGACCUUAGGAAUGCACAUCUAGCUCCUUGACUAGGAGACAAUUUUGUUAUUAUUUUAUCGUAUAGCUGCAUGUAAGUUCUUGCUCUGCCACAGCUACUGACACAGAGAACAUUCUACAGGGACAACAAAGUGCAAAGGAAGAGGCUGUUGGUCACAUAUAGUGGCUAUUAAUGCUGGUUACACUAUCAUGCAAGGUAAUGUCCUGUUUCUGUCUGGGAUAGAUUGGCUUAAACCAUGAAAGGCAACAAAAGAUUCCUAUCAGAUGCUGGUUAACCUGAAGCCUGGUGUUUGCAGGGAGUAAAACUGUACCUAAGUGUUGGAACUUUGACUUUUUUAUCUUGGAAAAGUAUUUACCUUUAGAAAACUUUAAGCUGCUUGCUCUACACAUACUCUGUAUCUUAAAUCAAAUAGGAAGGUUUUAUAUAUAACCAUUAAACAAGUUGUGGCAAACAAGUUUAUGGUCUAUUGGUAAUAUAAAGGCUUUUAGCCUUUCUAAAAUAUAAUUUUCCUCAAGAUAAUAACAUGCAUUUAUUUUUGAUCAUUUCCCCAGGCUCAGCCCAAACGCCUUCUGGCAAUGCUGGGGAGCACACAUCUACUUCCUCACUUUUCAUCUCUUAAAAAAAAUAACUCUUUGUAUAAUGUUGCCAUAAUUUAGAGACCACAUAAAUCUUAUGCUGUUACUCCAGUCAUACUUCUUCUGUUUUUUAAACUGUAAUGCCAAAAUAAUCCCUGAUACACCACUGUACCACCAGAAAAGCUGUGCCACUUGCUUGGGCUUUUUAGUUUUAACUGAAAGAUUUAUAAUCUGUCUUCAGUACUUAGUACAUGAACCCUUGAAAAUCGUGACUAUUUUGUUGUAAUUGGCUAUUUCCUUUAUACAGUGUGUUUUCCUUCUUUUUUAAUCAUGGUUUUCUUCACUGGAAUGUGCAGAAGGUUUUCUUAUGUCAGCAAAAUAAAAAGAAUACCAUUGUGAUUUAUACUUGAUUU